rnacentral:rRNA from 1 species
UACGUAGGGUGCGAGCGUUGUCCGGAAUUAUUGGGCGUAAAGAGCUCGUAGGCGGUCCGUCGCGUCGAAUGUGAAAACCCGGGGCUCAACCCCGGGCUUGCAUUCGAUACGGGCGGACUAGAGUUCGGUAGGGGAGACUGGAAUUCCUGGUGUAGCGGUGAAAUGCGUAGAUAUCGUAAGGAAGACCAGUGGCGAAGGCGGGUCUCUGGACAGUUCCUGACACUGAGGCACGAAGGCCAGGGGAGCAAACGGG